UACGUAGGUGGCAAGCGUUGUCCGGAAUUAUUGGGCGUAAAGCGCGCGCAGGCGGCCUCUUGAGUCUGAUGUGAAAGCCCCCGGCUCAACCGGGGAGGGCCAUUGGAAACUGGGAGGCUUGAGUAUAGGAGAGAAGAGUGGAAUUCCACGUGUAGCGGUGAAAUGCGUAGAGAUGUGGAGGAACACCAGUGGCGAAGGCGACUCUUUGGCCUAUAACUGACGCUGAGGCGCGAAAGCGUGGGGAGCAAACAGG
rnacentral:rRNA from 1 species